rnacentral:rRNA from 1 species
AGAGUUUGAUCCUGGCUCAGACGAACGCUGGCGGCAGGCUUAACACAUGCAAGUCGAACGGGCCCUUCGGGGUCAGUGGCAGACGGGUGAGUAACACGUGGGAACGUGCCCUUCGGUUCGGAACAACUCAGGGAAACUUGAGCUAAUACCGGAUACGCCCUUCGGGGGAAAGAUUUAUCGCUGAAGGAUCGGCCCGCGUCUGAUUAGCUAGUUGGUGAGGUAAUGGCUCACCAAGGCGACGAUCAGUAGCUGGUCUGAGAGGAUGAUCAGCCACACUGGGACUGAGACACGGCCCAGACUCCUACGGGAGGCAGCAGUGGGGAAUAUUGGACAAUGGGCGCAAGCCUGAUCCAGCCAUGCCGCGUGAGUGAUGAAGGCCUUAGGGUUGUAAAGCUCUUUCGUCCGGGACGAUAAUGACGGUACCGGAAGAAGAAGCCCCGGCUAACUUCGUGCCAGCAGCCGCGGUAAUACGAAGGGGGCUAGCGUUGCUCGGAAUCACUGGGCGUAAAGGGCGCGUAGGCGGCCAUUCAAGUCAGAGGUGAAAGCCCAAGGCUCAACCUUGGAAUUGCCUUUGAUACUGUUUGGCUUGAGACCGGAAGAGGUAAGUGGAACUGCGAGUGUAGAGGUGAAAUUCGUAGAUAUUCGCAAGAACACCAGUGGCGAAGGCGGCUUACUGGUCCGGUUCUGACGCUGAGGCGCGAAAGCGUGGGGAGCAAACAGGAUUAGAUACCCUAGUAGUCC